rnacentral:rRNA from 1 species
GAACACGUGAGAAACCUGCCUUCAACACUGGGAUAACUCCGGGAAACCGGGGCUAAUACCGGAUAUGAAAUCUGCGGGCAUCCGCGGAUUUGGAAAGUUUUUCGGUUGAAGAUGAUCUCGCGGCCUAUCAGCUUGUUGGUGAGGUAAUGGCUCACCAAGGCGACGACGGGUAGCCGGCCUGAGAGGGCGACCGGCCACACUGGGACUGAGACACGGCCCAGACUCCUACGGGAGGCAGCAGUGGGGAAUAUUGGGCAAUGGAGGAAACUCUGACCCAGCGACGCCGCGUGCGGGAUGAAGGCCUUCGGGUUGUAAACCGCUUUCAGCAGGGAAGAAGCGAAAGUGACGGUACCUGCAGAAGAAGCACCGGCUAACUAUGUGCCAGCAGCCGCGGUAAUACAUAGGGUGCAAGCGUUGUCCGGAAUUAUUGGGCGUAAAGAGCUCGUAGGUGGUUCGUCACGUCGGAUGUGAAACUCUGGGGCUUAACCCCAGACCUGCAUUCGAUACGGGCGAGCUUGAGUAUGGUAGGGGAGUCUGGAAUUCCUGGUGUAGCGGUGGAAUGCGCAGAUAUCAGGAGGAACACCAAUGGCGAAGGCAGGACUCUGGGCCAUUACUGACACUGAGGAGCGAAAGCGUGGGGAGCGAACAGGAUUAGAUACCCUGGUAGUCCACGCCGUAAACGGUGGGCACUAGUUGUGGGGACCUUCCACGGUCUCUGCGACGCAGCUAACGCAUUAAGUGCCCCGCCUGGGGAGUACGAUCGCAAGAUUAAAACUCAAAGGAAUUGACGGGGCCCCGCACAAGCAGCGGAGCAUGCGGCUUAAUUCGACGCAACGCGAAGAACCUUACCAAGGCUU